AACAUGGCGACGUGGCUAGACGUGCGGGGCGUCAAUUUAACUUGUUAUUUUUUUGUACAAAACUAGGAAAAAGGUAGCCAGUCGAAUAUCAGCUGCCUCUCAUAACAUGUUUGUUCUCGUACUGUGGUUUUCUGGGGGGUGGGGGGGAAAUAGCAACACUGGUUGCGGAACAUCAAAUGGAGAUCAAGUGUGUUGAUGAAGGUGACCCCCCUGUCUUUUGGUUGGUUGUUUGAACUUGCAGUUACAACUUGAAAUAAUUCAGAGUCCCUCAAAAAGGAAAAGAAAAGACAAAGCUUUUUACAAAACUCAACUGUUUUGGAUCUUGAACUGUUUACAAAAGGUGGAUGUCUAAUAGCUGAUGCAGUGAUGGAGUCAGCUUCACUCACAGAGCCUCUUGCUCUUAUCAUCUGAGAUGCUAAGACUUGGUCCACCAAAAAACAAAAGAGAAGUGUGUGAAAGCUGUUUUGGAAUCUGGACUGUCUUGUUGCGCUGAAGGGAUCUUGAACUGUGUACAAGAGAUGGGUGACUAAUAACUGACCCAGUAAUGGAGUCAGCUUCACCCGCUAAGUCUCUUCCUCAGUCUUGAUCUGGGAUGCUAAAAAAAGAUCCGAAAAUAUACCAACGUAACGUUUUGGGGGUACUUUCAAGAAUCACCUCAAUGCCUCUGACUCAUAGGACAAAGAACUAGUUAAUUCAAAUUUAGAAUUGCUUCGUCGUCGUCAAGUGUUAAAGAGACCUGUGAAAGCGAAAAAGGUAAAGACGAAGUCGAGAGGUGAGAUAGCUUUGGUGACAGUUUGCUGGCAAGUUCUCAAAUGGAUAUCGGGAGCUAACUGGAGUUUCUUGGACCACUCAAAGCUGGAUGACUAAUAUUAAUAAUCGAAAGAAGCUAAAUUGGAUCGACCCCCAAUUCAGAGAAUAAAAUGAAAAAAUUGGGGUUUCAUUCGUUCACCAUUUCCCAACAAAGCCGCCUCCAUUAAAAAGUUUAGAACAGAUAUCUAUCUACUUUGGAAAAUUAACCAAAAGCGGUUCCCUUCCCACACCCGUCAAUUAAAUUAGUAUAUCUUUUAUAUAUCUUUUAAAACAGUCAAUUGAUGAUAUUACAGUACAGUAUUACAAUACAACCUUUAAUAUACAUGUCUAUAACAAUAGUAAUUUUACAAUAUUCCUCUUACAAUCUCAUAGUACAGUAAUAUUACAAUAACUCUAGUCUGUUAUAUCUUAUAGUACAGUAAUAUUACAAUAACUCUAGUCUGUUAUAUCUUAUAGUACAGUAAGAUUACAAUAAUUCUAGUAAGUUAUUAUCUGAUAUUACAGUACAGUAUUACAAUACAAUCCUUUAAUGUACAUGUCUAUAACAAUAGUAAUUUUACAAUAUUCCUCUUACAAUCUUAUAGUGCAGUAAUAUUACAAUAAUUCUAGUCAGUGAUAUCUUUUAGUACAGUAAUAUUACAAUAAUUCUAGUCAGUGAUAUCUUUUAGUACAGUAAUAUUAAAAUUCUAGUCUUUUCUUUUUCGUCCGACCAUCCUCCCCCACCAUGCCCACUCUUCAAAGGCAUCGUUUAAGUGUUUUAAUAAGUUGUCUACUUUGUGGUACAAACAUUAUUCUUUUGAAAACGCAUGCUUUUCUUGUAGAGCAAAUGUCUGUCCUAAUACACAUGCGUAUUACAAGAAAUAUUCAGCUAUUUUCGGAUUUGUCAUUCUCUAACGCCUGACAGUUACAUUUUAAGCCCUCUGACGGCUGACAGUUACAUUUUAAGCCCUCUGACGGCUGACAGUUACAUUUUAAGCCCUCUGACAGCUGACGGUUAAACCCUGUUAAGACCCUCUACGCAUCCUGUUGCUUUUCCACAUAUGCAACGAUGAUGGUCAUAUGAUGUUGAAGGAGGAGUUCAUGCGAUGAAAAAUUUUGGUCAAACUGAAGUCUGAAACUUGGACCUUCCAUUUUCUUGUCCUCCUUUUACGAUCUGAAGGAAAC